rnacentral:lncRNA from 1 species
GAAGAUCCCACAAGAACCCUAUCCUCCCUUCUGAUCCUUACCAGAGGGGUAAGUUCCGGUUUUCGAUUUUCUGUGUACAUCCCAACCAGUUGGCAUAGUGGUUAAAACUUUUAGAUCAUCUAGUAGAAAUCAUGAAUUCGUUUCCCACAAAAAGUGAUAAGAAAAGUUAAUUUGAUAUUAUUGAGACCUUAAUUACCCUAGAGGGAUAUACGGGUCUUCUAACCCAAAAUUGCGUAGUCAUUAAAGAGUAGGUCUCAUAGUACUGCCAACAGUGCUAAAUUUAGCUAUUCAAAC